GCAGAGCUAGCCAUGGUGUACAAAGUAAAUGCUGCUAUCUUUUCCAAAUUAAAUGGAAAAGAUAGCAGUGGAUGAGAUAUUCAUUUACUUUGUACACCAUGGCUAGCUCU